AGUGAACGCUGGCGGUAGGCCUAACACAUGCAAGUCGAACGGCAGCACAGUAAGAGCUUGCUCUUCCGGGGGGCGAGUGGCGGACGGGUGAGGAGUACAUCGGAAUCUACUUUUUCGUGGGGGAUAACGGAGGGAAACUUACGCUAAUACCGCAUACGACCUACGGGGGAAAGCGGGGGAUCUUCUGACCUUGCGCGAUUGAAUGAGCCGAUGUCGGAUUAGCUAGUUGGCGGGGUAAAGGCCCACCAAGGCGACGAUCCGUAGCUGGUCUGAGAGGAUGAUCAGCCACACUGGAACUGAGACACGGUCCAGACUCCUACGGGAGGCAGCAGUGGGGAAUAUUGGACAAUGGGGGCAAGCCUGAUCCAGCCAUACCGCGUGGGUGAAGAAGGCCUUCGGGUUGUAAAGCCCUUUUGUUGGGAAAGAAAAGCAGCAGGUUAAUACCCCGCUGUUAUGACGGUACCCAAAGAAUAAGCACCGGCUAACUUCGUG
rnacentral:rRNA from 1 species